rnacentral:rRNA from 1 species
CAGCCGCGGUAAUACGUAGGAUGCAAGCGUUGUCCGGAAUUAUUGGGCGUAAAGCGAACGUAGGCGGCCUUUUAAGUUUGGUCUUAAAGACCAGGGCUCAACCCUGGGAAUGGACUGAAUACUGGGAGGCUGGAGGAUGUCAGAGGAAGGUGGAAUUCCGAGUGUAGCGGUGAAAUGCGUAGAUAUUCGGAGGAACACCGGUGGCGAAAGCGACCUUCUGGGGCAUUCCUGACGCUGAGGUUCGAAAGCUCGGGGAGCAAACAGGAUUAGAUACCCUGGUAGUCCGAGCCGUAAACGAUGGAUACUAGGUGUUGUGGGUAUCGACCCCCACAGUGCCGUAGCUAACGCGUUAA